ACACGUGUUGGGGCUGAAUAUAAAGGCCUAGUCGACAAGCUCUUUUCAGUGGUGCGGACGAGUUAUAUGAGAGAAGACGAAAAAGUGCUUGACUAUCUUAUUCGUUAUUCGCUGUUUUCGGUUUGAAUUAGUUCAACGUGAUUCGCUUUACAUUCGAAGCUUUCUAAUCUGACGUUUGCUUUGACUCCCAUAUAUGGUCAUAUAGAUUCAGAAUUUGUCCAAGGAAAGAGAACAGCUUCUGAGCUUUUACGUGGACACUUUUAAAUAAAACUGUAGACUUUAAAAGUUCCAGAAGUAACAGCGAACACUAUAAUUAAAGGAUCAGACGUCAACCGAUAUUGAGUUUCAAAGAAAAAUUUUCAGUCAUGUUGACCAGCAGAUGGCGCUGUAGAACGUGGCUGGCGUACGGAGUGAUGAUGAUUCUUGCUUUCUUAC